rnacentral:rRNA from 1 species
GAUGAACGCUGGCGGCGUGCCUAACACAUGCAAGUCGAGCGAGAAGCCGUGAAGUGGAGAUUCGUCAAAGCGACAUGGUGGAAAGUGGCGGACGGGUGAGUAAAAUGUAGAGAAUCUGCCCUAGAGAGGGGGACAACAGAGGGAAACUUCUGCUAAUACCCCAUAUGAGCGUACUUGAGAUAGUAUUCUUGAAAACUCCGGUGCUCUGGGAUGAGUCUGCAUCUGAUUAGCUAGUUGGGGGUGUAAUGGACCACCAAGGCGAUGAUCAGUAGCUGGUUUGAGAGGAUGAUCAGCCACAAUGGGACUGAGACACGGCCCAUACUCC